rnacentral:rRNA from 1 species
GACGAACGCUGGCGGCGUGCCUAAUACAUGCAAGUCGAGCGAGCAAAGUUAAAGGAAUACUUCGGUAGGAAUUUAAUAGCGCGAGCGGCGGAUGGGUGAGUAACACGUGGGCAACCUGCCCUUUAGCUUGGGAUACCACUUGGAAACAGGUGCUAAUACCAAAUAAGAAGUAAGAGCGCAUGCUCAAGCUAUGAAAGGCGGCUUUCGAGCUGUCACUAAAGGAUGGGCCCGCGGUGCAUUAGCUAGUUGGUAAGGUAAUGGCUUACCAAGGCAAUGAUGCAUAGCCGAGUUGAGAGACUGAUCGGCCACAUUGGGACUGAGACACGGCCCAAACUCCUACGGGAGGCAGCAGUAGGGAAUCUUCCACAAUGGACGCAAGUCUGAUGGAGCAACGCCGCGUGAGUGAAGAAGGUUUUCGGAUCGUAAAGCUCUGUUGUUGGUGAAGAAGGACAUGGGUAGUAACUGAUCUAUGUUUGACGGUAAUCAACCAGAAAGUCACGGCUAACUACGUGCCAGCAGCCGCGGUAAUACGUAGGUGGCAAGCGUUGUCCGGAUUUAUUGGGCGUAAAGCGAACGCAGGCGGGAGAACAAGUCAGCUGUGAAAGCCCUCGGCUUAACCGAGGAACGGCAACUGAAACUGUUUUUCUUGAGUGCAGAAGAGGAGAGUGGAACUCCAUGUGUAGCGGUGAAAUGCGUAGAUAUAUGGAAGAACACCAGUGGCGAAGGCGGCUCUCUGGUCUGUAACUGACGCUGAGGUUCGAAAGCAUGGGUAGCGAACAGGAUUAGAUACCCUGGUAGUCCAUGCCGUAAACGAUGAGUGCUAAGUGUUGGGAGGUUUCCGCCUCUCAGUGCUGCAGCUAACGCAUUAAGCACUCCGCCUGGGGGAGUACGACCGCAAGGUUAAAACU